AGGCAAAUCCCAAAAAUAAACGUCCCAUUCGGAUUGUAGUCUGCAACUCGACUACAUGAAGCUGGAAUCGCUAGUAAUCGCGGAUCAGAAUGCCGCGGUGAAUACGUUCCCGGGCCUUGUACACACCGCCCGUCACACCAUGAGAGUUGGGGAUACCCGAAGCCUGUGAGCUAACUUUUAGAGGCAGCAGUCGAAGGUAGAAUCAAUGAUUGGGGUGAAGUCGUAACAAGGUAGC
rnacentral:rRNA from 1 species